GCGAGUUUUCAACUCCCAAACCCUACGUGAACAUACCUGUCGUUGCUUCGGCGGACUCGCCGACUGCCAGCGCCUGGACGCGGGUCCUGGUCCUAGGCGUCCGCCGGAGGCCACUAAACUCCGUUUCCACCGGUUUUUCUGAAUCCGCCGCAAGGCAAACUAAAUGCAUCA
rnacentral:misc_RNA from 1 species